GGCACGGGGACUCAGCAGAGCUGGCCGGGAUGACCUCCGAGUAGCCUACCCCUGCAGUUCCCCUAACCCUGGCGAGGUCUCUCAAACUCUGGGGCCCCUCGCGGCCUCCCUGUCCCCGCUCCGCGCCCACCUGGCCUGCAAGAACGCGACACCGGGGCCGCCAGCCGCUCCGGGGAGCUGCCGCCUCCGCGCCGCCGCCUCCAUGGCCGCCACGCUCGGCCUCGCCUUCCGGGAGGAGAGACGGAUGCGCGUGCCGCGCGGAGCCUCGGCGCCUAGCGCGGGGAAGGCUGGGCGGGAGGAAGGAAGCCUUGCCUAGCCGGGCUUGAGAGUACUGAAUGGAGGUGAACCUGGGAUCCAGAAUGAUCAAGCUGUGAGGUCAUCAAAAGAUCUGGGGUCUAUGAGUCCUUUAAAUUGUACUGGAAGCACUCCUUCCUCGAAUUAAAGACUGAGCAAUC
rnacentral:lncRNA from 1 species